rnacentral:rRNA from 1 species
UACGGGAGGCAGCAGUGGGGAAUAUUGCACAAUGGGCGCAAGCCUGAUGCAGCCAUGCCGCGUGUAUGAAAAAGGCCUUCGGGUUGUAAAGUACUUUCAGUCGUGAGGAAGGUGUUAAGGUUAAUAACCUUAGCAAUUGACGUUAGCGACAGAAGAAGCACCGGCUAACUCCGUGCCAGCAGCCGCGGUAAUACGGAGGGUGCGAGCGUUAAUCGGAAUUACUGGGCGUAAAGGGCACGCAGGCGGUUAAUUAAGUUGGAUGUGAAAUCCCCGGGCUUAACCUGGGAAUGGCAUUCAAGACUGGUUAGCUAGAGUCUUGUAGAGGGGGUAGAAUUCCAUGUGUAGCGGUGAAAUGCGUAGAGAUGUGGAGGAAUACCGGUGGCGAAGGCGGCCCCUGGACAAAGACUGACGCUCAUGUGCGAAAGCGUGGGGAGCAAACAGGGAUUAGAUACCCUCUGGAAGGACGGAGGCACACGG